GCCCUCGUUGUCUAAUGGUUAUGACGUCAGACUUCUAACCUAGUGGUAUCUGGAGGCUGUGGGUUCGAGUCCCACCGGGGGCU